UACGAAGGUCCCAAGCGUUGUUCGGAAUAACUGGGCGUAAAGCGUGUGUAGGCUGCGCGGAAAGUCAAAUGUGAAAGCCCAGGGCUUAACCCUGGAACUGCAUUCGAUACUCCCGUGCUAGAGUAAUGGAGAGGUAAGUGGAAUUCCUGGUGUAGCAGUGAAAUGCGUAGAUAUUCAUGGGAACGCCAAUGGCGAAGGCA
rnacentral:rRNA from 1 species